GAGAGAUGUGAAAAUAUAAAAUUGUAACUUCACUCGACUCGCCGCCGCACGGAGAGAGCGACACUUGCCUCAGAGCCCGCUUGCCUAAUACCAUCGCUUGUCGAAAAAUACCCUUAAAAGCAUCCGGGUCCCUGUACAGAUAGAAAGCCAACAAGAACUAACGAGCCAGCAUGCAGAUGUCGGGAUUCUCUGUGCUCUUCCUGCUCGCCCUGUUGAGCUUCGUGGCCUGCACGGCCAUUGACCAGGCUGGCCAAAUCAUCAGCGGAUUAACCACUGCUCUUGCAAACGCGGUGCGUGGUCUCGCCGGCACUGGCGGCAAGUCGGAGGAGUGACUAAAAUGCGAUGUUCAUCGACCAAAGAAAAUAAACCGCAUUGCCUGAUCAA
rnacentral:lncRNA from 1 species